UGUGUCUCGAGGCAAGAAAUUGAUGAAUUUAAGAAGUCGGUGAAGGAUGAGUUCAAUGUUCUCCACAAAUUGAUCAAUGACAACUUGACAACGAUUCUUCAAGCUAUUGAAGCAAUUAAAGGGAAUAAGGAUUCUGAAAAGGGUGCUGCCAGAGAAUCUACAUUUCAGCAACAUGAUAAUGGAAUACACAAUAAAUCACCGAUACAAAACGAGAGUUAUACGGCUCAUUUUCCAACACAGGGCCUAGUGGGAGAUGUUGGUGUGAACGAGGUUAAUUCUACGGUGAUACAUUAAGGGAUUCAACAC